rfam:Dictyostelium purpureum unplaced genomic scaffold DICPTscaffold_141, whole genome shotgun sequence.
GGAUUCUUAGCUCAGUGGUAGAGUAUGCGACUGCAAAUCGUUUGGUCACCAGUUCAAUCCUGGUAGGGUCCU